rnacentral:rRNA from 1 species
UGGUGAAACCCUUGGCUUAAACGGGGUAGUGCAUUGGAAACUGGGAGACUUGAGUGCAGAAGAGGAGAGUGGAACUCCAUGUGUAGCGGUGAAAUGCGUAGAUAUAUGGAAGAACACCAGUGGCGAAAGCGGCUCUCUGGUCUGUAACUGACGCUGAGGUUCGAAAGCGUGGGUAGC